UACGGAGGGUGCAAGCGUUAAUCGGAAUUACUGGGCGUAAAGCGCACGCAGGCGGUCAAUUAAGUCAGAUGUGAAAGCCCCGAGCUUAACUUGGGAAUUGCAUCUGAAACUGGUUGGCUAGAGUCUUGUAGAGGGGGGUAGAAUUCCAUGUGUAGCGGUGAAAUGCGUAGAGAUGUGGAGGAAUACCGGUGGCGAAGGCGGCCCCCUGGACAAAGACUGACGCUCAGGUGCGAAAGCGUGGGGAGCAAACAGGAUUAGAUACCCCUGUAGUCC
rnacentral:rRNA from 1 species